rnacentral:rRNA from 1 species
AGUUCUGUAGAGGGGGGUAGAAUUUUCAGGUGUAGCGGUGAAAUGCGUAGAGAUUUGAAGGAAUACCGGUGGGGAAGGCGGCCCCCUGGACAGAUACUGACACUCAGAUGCGAAAGCGUGGGGAGCAAACAGGAUUAGAUACCCUGGUAGUCCACGCCGUAAACGAUGUCUACUUGGAGGUUGUGGCCUUGAGCCGUGGCUUUCGGAGCUAACGCGUUAAGUAGACCGCCUGGGGAGUACGGUCGCAAGAUUAAAACUCAAAUGAAUUGACGGGGGCCCGCACAAGCGGUGGAGCAUGUGGUUUAAUUCGAUGCAACGCGAAGAACCUUACCUACUCUUGACAUCUACAGAAGCCAGCGGAGACGCAGGUGUGCCUUCGGGAACUGUAAGACAGGUGCUGCAUGGCUGUCGUCAGCUCGUGUUGUGAAAUGUUGGGUUAAGUCCCGCAACGAGCGCAACCCUUAUCCUUGUUUGCCAGCACUUCGGGUGGGAACUCCAGGGAGACUGCCGGUGAUAAACCGGAGGAAGGUGGGGACGACGUCAAGUCAUCAUGGCCCUUACGAGUAGGGCUACACACGUGCUACAAUGGCGCAUACAGAGGGCGGCCAACUUGCGAAAGUGAGCGAAUCCCAAAAAGUGCGUCGUAGUCCGGAUUGGAGUCUGCAACUCGACUCCAUGAAGUCGGAAUCGUUAGUAAUCGUGGAUCAGAAUGCCACGGUGAAUACGUUCCCGGGCCUUGUACACACCGCCCGUCACACCAUGGGAGUGGGCUGCAAAAGAAGUGGGUAGUUUAACCUUCGGGAGGACGCUCACCACUUUGUGGUUCAUGACUGGGGUGAAGUCGUAACAAGGUAACCG